rnacentral:rRNA from 1 species
CUCUUUAACCAGUGAGUGGCGGACGGGUGAGUAACACGUGGGUAACCUGCCCAUUAGAGGGGGAUAACAUUCGGAAACGGAUGCUAAUACCGCAUAGUUUCAGGAAUCGCAUGAUUCUUGAAGGAAAGGUGGCUUCGGCUACCACUAAUGGAUGGACCCGCGGCGUAUUAGCUAGUUGGUGAGGUAAUGGCUCACCAAGGCAAUGAUACGUAGCCGACCUGAGAGGGUGAUCGGCCACACUGGGACUGAGACACGGCCCAGACUCCUACGGGAGGCAGCAGUAGGGAAUCUUCCGCAAUGGACGAAAGUCUGACGGAGCAACGCCGCGUGAGUGAAGAAGGUUUUCGGAUCGUAAAACUCUGUUGUUAAAGAAGAACAAGGAUGAGAGUAACUGCUCAUCCCCUGACGGUAUUUAACCAGAAAGCCACGGCUAACUACGUGCCAGCAGCCGCGGUAAUACGUAGGUGGCAAGCGUUGUCCGGAUUUAUUGGGCGUAAAGCGAGCGCAGGCGGUUCUUUAAGUCUGAUGUGAAAGCCCCCGGCUCAACCGGGGAGGGUCAUUGGAAACUGGAGAACUUGAGUGC